CCUACGGGUGGCUGCAGUGGGGAAUCUUGGACAAUGGGGGGAACCCUGAUCCAGCCAUGCCGCGUGUGUGAAGAAGGCCCUCGGGUUGUAAAGCACUUUCAGUGAGGAAGAACGCCUGGUGGUUAAUACCCAUCAGGAAAGACAUCACUCACAGAAGAAGCACCGGCUAACUCCGUGCCAGCAGCCGCGGUAAUACGGAGGGUGCGAGCGUUAAUCGGAAUUACUGGGCGUAAAGCGCGCGUAGGUGGCUUGAUAAGCCGGUUGUGAAAGCCCCGGGCUCAACCUGGGAACGGCAUCCGGAACUGUCAAGCUAGAGUGCAGGAGAGGAAGGUAGAAUUCCCGGUGUAGCGGUGAAAUGCGUAGAGAUCGGGAGGAAUACCAGUGGCGAAGGCGGCCUUCUGGACUGACACUGACACUGAGGUGCGAAAGCGUGGGUAGCAAACAGGAUUAGAUACCCGAGUAGUC
rnacentral:rRNA from 1 species